rfam:Oryza meridionalis cultivar OR44 (W2112) chromosome 7, whole genome shotgun sequence.
UUUAAGUGCGAUAGUGGGUUUUCGUGUCCAACGUUUAACCGUCGUCUUAUUUAUUUUUUUAUGAUUAGUAUUUUUAUUGUUCUUAUAUGAUAAAACAUGAAUAAUACUUUAUGCGUAACUUGUUUUUUUAUUUUUUCAUAAAUUUUUCGAAUAAGGCAGAUGAUCAAAUGUCGGAUACGGAAAUUCAAAACUGCAUUUAAA